rnacentral:misc_RNA from 1 species
CUGCUCCAUGCUGACUUGCCAAUGCCAGCCCUUAUGGCUGCCUGAUCUGCCCACAUCACUUCCCAGAGACAAAUUGUCUGUUCAAAAGUCAACUCCCUCAUGAACAGCACCACCACCAUCCUAUAAACAAAAAAACAAUCCUCAGCCUGGAGCUUCUCCAAGUGCCUGAAAAGGUGGGAGUCUUUGCAUUUGAUAAUCUUGGAAAC